UACUACAAAUCUCAUUUCUAAUCAACAGGAUAUCAGGCCCGACAAGCGACAACUCCCCCCUUCUCACCUCUUCCCUCGACUACUGCUCGCGUCCGCCUCCAUUCUGACUCCACUCUUCCUCCUUGCUCUCUCCAGUCCCCUUCUUCACUACCCUUUGGUGUCACGAUUCAACUUUCGGUGGGAAGAAGUCAUGGCCUGCCACAUUGCUAAGAAUCGAGUCACCAAAGGCAAUACUCCCGGCCUCAAGGAUACAACCAUCAGAGCUGUCAAACUGGGAGUCACUGAUAUGAUCGUGUCCUAAUUUAUAAGCUAAUAUUAUGGUUAGUCAAAAAACUCGACAGCUUUUGCUGUUGUUGCUUUCGUUCACCUGAAGCAUUUGCAAUAUACUAAGAGUUAAAUAAUGCCCUUGAUGUUGAUGAUUCUUAUGAGAGGUCAGGAGUCUUGACCGAUCUCAUUCCUGAAGCAUCAUACACUUGCCGUCAAGGUGGAAUUGCUUGCUUGCUUGCUGCUUGCUUGAAUUCGUGCAUCUGCGCUUCAUUGCAGAAACAUAAAUAGAUAUUUCAUGGCAGACAGAAUAAAUGUAGUCGAUUGUUUGAACUCGAUGCUUACCUGUGUUAAGAGUGGAUUUGGGAAACAGUAGACACAUUACUCUCUGUCGAUUCUAAGUUUAUUCAUUCUGAUUACAUUGGGAUGACGACAUAGCAUCAGAAAUUUCAUGCACUCCCUGAAUCAUAAGCUAUUUUACAUGAGCAUCUGGAACUCUAAUCUGACUCCAAACAGCAGGCUCACUCCAUCAGCUCUACUAUGGUUCCCAUGUUCCGGCGACGACAGGGUUCUAUUCUGUCAAGGGCCAAGACUCCCACCACUCAGGAGGAGUGGUGCAGCGCUGCUCCGGAGAACUACUGCAGUUCAAAUCGCACGGUUGCUCAAUUGAUGUCAGGUAGCUACUCUCAGGUUCUCCCAUGUAUAAGUAUUCUGCUU